CAGUCGCCACGGUAACACGUAGGGUGCGAGCGUUAAUCGGAAUUACUGGGCGUAAAGCGUGCGCAGGCGGUUCGUUAAGACAGAUGUGAAAUCCCCGGGCUUAACCUGGGAACUGCAUUUGUGACUGACGGGCUAGAGUAUGGCAGAGGGGGGUAGAAUUCCACGUGUAGCAGUGAAAUGCGUAGAGAUGUGGAGGAAUACCGAUGGCGAAGGCAGCCCCCUGGGCCAAUACUGACGCUCAUGCACGAAAGCGUGGGGAGCAAACAGGAUUAGAUACCCCCGUAGUCCCUGUCUCUUAUAC
rnacentral:rRNA from 1 species